GCCAUGUAAACGGGGAGCAAAAGAGCGGAUUUAACCAACUCUGUACAAACCGGCGCUCCAGGGACAAGACUGCCCGGAGACAGACCCAGCAGAAUCUGGAACGCUAGAGGGAAAAAGUCACACACCCCCGGUUUCGGCGAUUCGUCACAACAAGCGCCAAAAAAGCCGAGACUCCGCACCGGCGAAAAACGGCACAGACGACCACAUAAAUCUAGAGCUGGGGGAUUCCGGCGCCCCGAGCAUUCCGAAUGAAACACCCAAAAGACCUGUUUUUAAUGACAUGUCAGAUGUUGAUGACCAGCUAUUCUGUGAUGCGGCCAACCUUAUAGACCCAGUCAAUUCUACGGCCUCAAUACCUGCAGCCGAACAAGAAAGGUUUUUCACAUUAUUUUCCAGGGCUUUGAAAUCGAGGAAUGUUUUGCUAUACAAACGACUGGGGGAUUUAAUUGAGAGACAGUACAGAGACGAUAUGUUAUUCUGCCAUUUUUGUAUAAUUAAGAGUGUUCGUUUUUUUUCUUUCUGUAAUGGUUGGUGUUACAUGUAUGAUUUUAGCGUCUGUAUUUGCGUUUUUUAAUGGGGUUGCUGUUUAACAUGCGUGGAAUUGUUCUAUGCCAGAAUAAC